rnacentral:rRNA from 1 species
UACGGGGGGGGCAAGCGUUGUUCGGAAUUACUGGGCGUAAAGGGCUCGUCGGCGGCCAACUAAGUCGGACGUGAAAUCCCCAGGCUCAACCUGGGAACUGCGUCCGAUACUGGAUGGCUUGAAUCCGGGAGAGGGAUGCAGAAUUCCAGGUGUAGCGGUGAAAUGCGCAGAUAUCAGGAGGAACACCAAUGGCGAAGGCAGCUCGCUGGGACGUGACUGACGCUGAGACGCGAAAGCGUGGGGAGCAAACAGG